rnacentral:pre_miRNA from 4 species
GAUAGAAUUGCUGGGUCAUAUGGUAAGUGUAUGUUUAACUUUAUAAGGAACUGUCAAACUAUUCUCUAAAGUAGUGGUACCAUUUUGCAUUCCCAUUAGCAGU